GGUAUCCUGUCUGAAUAUGGGGGGACCAUCCUCCAAGGCUAAAUACUCCUGACUGACCGAUAGUGAACCAGUACCGUGAGGGAAAGGCGAAAAGAACCCCGGCGAGGGGAGUGAAAAAGAACCUGAAACCGUGUACGUACAAGCAGUGGGAGCACAGGUUUACCUGUGUGACUGCGUACCUUUUGUAUAAUGGGUCAGCGACUUAUAUUCUGUAGCAAGGUUAACCGAAUAGGGGAGCCGGAGGGAAACCGAGUCUUAAUUGGGCGUUAAGUUGCAGGGUAUAGACCCGAAACCCGGUGAUCUAGCCAUGGGCAGGUUGAAGGUUGGGUAACACUAACUGGAGGACCGAACCGACUAAUGUUGAAAAAUUAGCGGAUGACCUGUGGCUGGGGGUGAAAGGCCAAUCAAACCGGGAGAUAGCUGGUUCUCCCCGAAAGCUAUUUAGGUAGCGCCUCGUGAAUUCAUCUCCGGGGGUAGAGCACUGUUUCGGCUAGGGGGCCAUCCCGGCUUACCAACCCGAUGCAAACUGCGAAUACCGGAGAAUGUUAUCACGGGAGACACACGGCGGGUGCUAACGUCCGUCGUGAAGAGGGAAACAACCCAGACCGCCAGCUAAGGUCCCAAAGUCAUGGUUAAGUGGGAAACGAUGUGGGAAGGCCCAGACAGCCAGGAUGUUGGCUUAGAAGCAGCCAUCAUUUAAAGAAAGCGUAAUAGCUCACUGGUCGAGUCGGCCUGCGCGGAAGAUGUAACGGGGCUAAACCAUGCACCGAAGCUGCGGCAGCGACGCUGAUGCGUUGUUGGGUAGGGGAGCGUUCUGUAAGCCUGCGAAGGUGGCCUGUGAGGGUUGCUGGAGGUAUCAGAAGUGCGAAUGCUGACAUAAGUAACGAUAAAGCGGGUGAAAAGCCCGCUCGCCGGAAGACCAAGGGUUCCUGUCCAACGUUAAUCGGGGCAGGGUGAGUCGACCCCUAAGGCGAGGCCGAAAGGCGUAGUCGAUGGGAAACGGGUUAAUAUUCCCGUACUUGGUGUUACUGCGAAGGGGGGACGGAGAAGGCUAUGUUGGCCGGGCGACGGUUGUCCCGGUUUAAGCGUGUAGGUGUGUGUUCCAGGUAAAUCCGGUU
rnacentral:rRNA from 1 species